GACGCGGCUCACUCACCUUUCCCAUUCCGAGGCAGUGGUGAAGUCCGUGAUUUCAAAUACCUCGGACUCGGGCUGCGGGAGGGGGAAGGAAACACAGAGACUGAGCCCCGGAAGAUGACACUGAGGAGCGAACUUACACAGUGACAGGGGACCGGCCAACAUGGACCACAUUCACAUGGAAACCAUGAAGAAGGCAACCUGGGUCACCCUGAGAAGUACUGCACUCACGUGGGCACGACUUCCACACCGGCAAGGACAUGCGCGAGGAGAGCACCAGCAUUCCCUGCAAGAAGCUCCGCACAGGAUAGCAGGCUGUGUCACACCCCCGAUGAAGCGGCUUCAGAGAGGCCCGCUUAGAGAUAUCUCCACCAGGCUGCAGGAGGCGGGGAGAAAAAGGAGAGAGAAUUAUGUUGCUGAGGUCUCAGCCCUGGAUCAGAUCACCGAGGGGAGAAUCGGAUACUCUUCAUGAUUCUGCCAUGAGAAUGAUUGCAUGGACGGGGCAGCGGGAAGAGGAAGACAGGAGACAAGAACAAGGAACCGUUUGGAGGGAAAUUCUCUGCGCCAACAUUAUUAGACACUGUUUUCCCCGUUUAUUCAGUCAUAUUUAUCAAGGGCCUACUGUCAUGGCACGGUGGUCAAUCCCAUGGAGGGAUUCAAAUAAUCCCUGCCCGCUGGGUUGCCACAGUCUGAGCACCAAGAGAUAAGACGUAAGUAACUAUAAAAUGGCUUAGAAAAGGAUGUGUGAUAGUUACCCAACUUCCUAAAGCUCUUUAGAAAAUCAGAGGUAGAAAAAUAUUCAAGCGACUUUUAAGAACAGGCACACGGUAUCUUAUAUUCUAAAAAAUGCAGUCCACUAUUUCUUGAAACAGAAAGCAGUACAGUUACCCAUGUGAGAAUUUCGAAAGCAAUAAUGCAGCCUUCAUUCGCUCAUCUGCAUUCAGCCAUGUCUUCAUCGCAAACUCUGUUAGAAGCAACUGCCAUCUGCCUGGCCCUGGUCCUGAAACUGGAAAAUGAAAAAAUAAAAACAAGGUGCCUGCCGUCAAAAAGCUUCGCGUAUACAGUCAUUGCAUGAUUCUCAAGGCCUAUAAUAAGUCAAGAGCACCUAGCUUCACUCCUUAAGCUUGCAUCUUAUUAUCUGGCAGUUUCAGAAGGGACAGUGCAUGGUAACAGUCUUCUAUUUUUAAAGAUAUUUAAAUGGAUCUUGAAUCAGACUGUAGGAGACAAAAUAAUUGAAAAGAGUAGUAAGAAUGAAAUGCAGAUUUGGAAAAUAAAAUUAUUCUGCUGAGCAUGUAUAUGCGUGUGCACCUAUCUACAACUAAUUACUGUAUUUUACACGUAUAAUCUUAUUUAAUAACCAGUAUUUCCUUGUUCAUGAUGGUGAAUUAUUCCAGCUACAGAUGAUUAAUAAAUGCAAAGUAUCAGGCCUCAGCCUCACCUUACAUGUCACACUGUUCUUAGACACUACUUAAAAAAUAUAUUUAUUUAUUUAUUUGAAAGGCAGAGUUACAGACAGGCAGAAGCAGAGAGGUCUUCCGUCUGCUGAUUCACUCCCCAGAUGGCCGCGCAGCCGGAACUGCACCGAUCCAAAGCCAGGAGCCAGGAUCCUCCUCUGGGUCUCCCACGCAGGUGCAGAGGCCCAAGGAUUUGGGCUGUCUUCCACUGUUUUCCCAGGCCACAGCAGAGAGCUGAAUGGGAAGUGGAGCAGCCGGGAUUGGAACAGGUGCCCGCGUGGGAUGCCGCUGCUGCAGGCGGUGGCUCUACCGGCUACACCACAGCACCGGCCCCACUCAACUACUUUAGCAGCAAUAGUAUCUCCAAAUGCUUGCCGAGUCCCUCCUCAGAUCCCUUGAACAUUCUCCCCAGUCCAGUUACAAUGGCUUAAGGAUCUCGACCUCUGCAGCUUCUGCUAUGCUGCUGCCCUUAAUCCAGCAUCUUCCAUUUAUGUCUGUUCUUUGGAGAUACUUGUCACCAAAUGUAGAGCCUGAGAAUCCGCAUUUUAAUUUAAACUGCUGUAAUAUUAUACAAGUAAUAGGAAUGUUUUCUCAUGGAAAAAGGCUCAAAUGAUAUGCAUAAAGUAAAUGAUCUUGACUGUUUUUUCAACACUUACACAACCUACAUACAAUCACUGAUCUCAGUUAAGUGUGCAUCUCUUCCGACCCUAUCAUAUGCACGUAUAUAAGUAUCUUUUUAUAAUUUGUUGUAAAGGUAGUUUUUAACCUUCUUCUAAAUCAAUUUCUUUCACAAAUAAGGAUGUCUGGCACUUAAUAUGAACACACUAAGUCAGUACUUCUAUCAACUCACUUAAUUGUCACAAUAAUCUUAAGAGGGAGACACUAUUACCAUACAGCCCUAUGUUACCAAUGAGGAAACUGAGACAAGAAGAACGUAGACAACUUGCCCCGUCACACAGUUGGUAAGUGGUAGGGCCGGUUCCAUGGGCAUGUUCUCUGAACCUCCUUAUCACAGAGAAUCAUGCUAUACAUGUUAUUUGACAACUCAAUUUUUGACUUAAUUAUGUGACUUGGAGCCCACAUAAGACAUUAUGUAAAGCUCUUUCCUUUUUUUGUACCUCUGCACAGCAUUCCAAAAUUUGAAGUAAAGAUGGAUGACCUUUUGCUUCAUUGUCUCCUACAGCUUGAUAUAUAGACUGUUAGUUACCUCUGUUAAAAAAAUAAGUCUUACUUGGAUGAUGAACUUACAGGGAUUCAUUGUACUAUACCAUUUACUACUUCAAAAUUUUCCAGAAUGAAGGUUUUUUUGAGGUAAAAAUUCAUUCUACCUGCAUCUUAGUGAUCAUGUAUGAGAAUUACUGUAGGCUAAAUAUUGAGAGGUAGGAACACUGGGUUGCGAGUGAUAGAACAAAGACGUAAGCCUCAGCCAUUCUCGCUCCUUGCCCAAAAGAUAGAUAAACAUUGGAAUGUAUUCCCUGCCCUUGAAUCUGAAUUGGGUCUCACAUUCUAUUGCCCUCAUAUCCCACCCCCACCUGAAAGACCAGUUGCUGGAAUUCCCCUCCACCUGCUGCCCCCCGACCCCUACCCCCCUCCCUAGCCCUCCUAAGAUAUAAAAAGGCCCGGUCCCUGGGGGUCAAGGACUUCUGCCAAGUGUUCCAUCAAUGUGUACACGGACAGUGGGUCACCCACCUCUACGAAUUUCUUUUCUCUGAAUAAAUUCUGU